rnacentral:rRNA from 1 species
AACGCGAAGAACCUUACCAGGUCUUGACAUCCUCUGACAACCCUAGAGAUAGGGCUUCUCCUUCGGGAGCAGAGUGACAGGUGGUGCAUGGUUGUCGUCAGCUCGUGUCGUGAGAUGUUGGGUUAAGUCCCGCAACGAGCGCAACCCUUGAUCUUAGUUGCCUUCAUUUAGUUGGGCACUCUAAGGUGACUGCCGGUGACAAACCGGAGGAAGGUGGGGAUGACGUCAAAUCAUCAUGCCCCUUAUGACCUGGGCUACACACGUGCUACAAUGGACGGUACAAAGAGCUGCAAGACCGCGAGGUGGAGCUAAUCUCAUAAAACCGUUCUCAGUUCGGAUUGUAGGCUGCAACUCGCCUACAUGAAGCUGGAAUCGCUAGUAAUCGCGGAUCAGCAUGCCGCGGUGAAUACGUUCCCGGGCCUUGUACACACCG